GCGCUGAGCACGGGUGCCUUGCAUAUGAAAGACUGUUGGCCCUGCAGUGACAUAAGUACUAUGCAUUUCACUGGCUUCAAGAAAUAGCAGCCACCCUGUUCGCCUGCCACCCGACUUAGACGUCAGCCUCAUCUCUAACCAGUCCCCUCUGUUACCU